rnacentral:pre_miRNA from 1 species
CCAGUCGUAGCCGAUGUUCCACAGGAGCGGCCCGAGGACCGAGCCCUGCGGGACACCGCACGACAUC